GACGUAGGAGGCGAGCGUUAUCCGGAUUCACUGGGCGUAAAGCGCAUGUAGGCGGUUUGGUAAGUCCGUUGUUAAAGCCCCCGGCUCAACUGGGGGAGGUCAAUGGAGACUCCCAGACUUGAGGGCAACAGAGGCACAUGGAACUCCCGGUGUAGCGGUGGAAUGCGUAGAUAUCGGGAGGAACACCAGUGGCGAAGGCGGCUCUCUGGACCGGUGCUGACGCUCAGGCGCGAAAGCGUGGGGAGCGAUCCGG
rnacentral:rRNA from 1 species